CCUACGGGAGGCAGCAGUGGGGAAUAUUGGACAAUGGGCGCAAGCCUGAUCCAGCAAUGCCGCGUGUGUGAAGAAGGCCUUCGGGUUGUAAAGCACUUUUAUCAGGAACGAAAUACCACGGGUUAAUACCCUAUGGGGCUGACGGUACCUGAGGAAUAAGCACCGGCUAACUUCGUGCCAGCAGCCGCGGUAAUACGAAGGGUGCAAGCGUUAAUCGGAAUUACUGGGCGUAAAGGGUGCGUAGGCGGUUAGUUAAGUCUGUCGUGAAAUCCCCGGGCUCAACCUGGGAAUGGCGAUGGAUACUGGCUGGCUAGAGUGUGUCAGAGGAUGGUGGAAUUUCCGGUGUAGCGGUGAAAUGCGUAGAGAUCGGAAGGAACAUCAGUGGCGAAGGCGGCCAUCUGGGACAACACUGACGCUGAAGCACGAAAGCGUGGGGAGCAAAACAGGAUUAGACUACCCGUGGUACGUCCCGUACCGACCCGUAAACCGUAACGUACGUACGAACCGUACGGUAGUAGGUUUGGGUUCGUUACCGUAACCGUACCGGUACGGUAGUACGUAGUAGGUUCGGUAACGGACGUAACCGGUACCGGUUAACGGUUUACCGGUCCCGGUCCCGUCGGGGUACGGGUUACCGGGUUACCGGUCCGAACGAACGUACGUAAACCGUACCGUAAACGGUAAACGUUAGGUACGGACCGUGAGGACGUACGACCGACGGACGACCGACGGAGGGAGGUUAGG
rnacentral:rRNA from 1 species